rnacentral:misc_RNA from 1 species
GCAAAUUUAGCGGAUAACAUAGGCGAUAAUUUGUUUAGGGAUGGUAAUAAUGAUGGUGACAACCCCGAGGGAGAAGUUGAUGAGUUUAGUUGGAAUCUCCCAAAAUUAAAAACCCCUGACAAAGGCGAAGCUGUCAGUAAUUCUCUGGCAGAUUUGAUCAACACUGCCUGUACUAACCAAUGUCAAGUAGACAACAUUAUUGAAAAAUACAAAGUCCUAUCUAAUUGCCAAUUUAUGGGGGCCCCUCGUAUAAACGAGGAAAUUUGGGACGAUUUGAUAAAAAUGAAAAGAGUACAGACUACUGAUAAGUCUUUGCGAGACAUCCAAAAUUUAGUAUGCACUGGCAUGCUACCAAUUCUAGAGCUAGCUAAGGUGUUGAAGACACACAUUUCUACCCUUCCACUAGUUAAAGAUCUCAUUGCUGAUUCUAUCACUGUCAUGGGUCAGGUGCAGUUUAUGCUUAGUGUAAGGAGGCGUUACCUUCUUCGGCCAUCUUUAAAAUCCAGAUAUUCCAAUAUUUGCAGUAUAAGAACACCAAUAACAUCUUACCUUUUUGGUGACGAUAUUGCUAAAGAAUUGAAAAAAUGUAAAACAAGUGUAAAAAUUGGUAAAUACAAUUAUAGUACCGGGUAUUCGCGGCCUAGACAGAGCAGUUUUGGCCCGUUUAGGGGCGGUCGUGGCAAACCUUACAGGGGCAGAGGUCAUCCAUAUGCCAAGCCGUAUUUUGAUCGACAACAACCAUACGGUCAGUUCGGAUAUCAGCAUAAUAUUGUGCCGAGAACAUCCAAGAAGAACGUGACCGCUACAGCGACAAAUGCAAGUGCCACAUGUAACCCAAACUAAAACCCCAGGGUUUUAAAGCAAAGGCUGCCGAGACACCGAGACAUCGUGACAUUACCACACAACGGGGCACACCAUCCAAUGGGCAAGAAUUUACAGCUAUUUGGGGCAAUUGUGUCAGGAAAUCCCUUAAGGAUCGAGGAGUUCCAGCAGAUGCUGCAGAAACAGUCAUUAACAGUUGGCGUAUCGGUACCAGAAAACAGUACACAGGGGCUUGGAAGAAAUGGACUUUUUGGUGUUGUAUUCGGAACUUUGAUCCCGUUCAACCAUCUGAAGAAAUGAUUGUUUCUUAUUUACUGUUUUUAAAGAACACUAAUAAAUCCUAUAGUGUCAUUAAUACCCAUAAAGCAGUUAUUUUGGAGACGUUAAAACUUUUAGAUGAUAACUACAACAACAGAGUUUUUAAUAUAAUAAGACGUUUUAUGAGAGGACUUCACAAUUAUAUUCCUUCAAAACCACGAUAUACAUCUACCUGGAAUGUUUCCACUGUGCUUAAUUUACUUGCUGGAUGGAUGCCACUUGAUUCUUUGUCUCUAAAGAACUUGACUUUUAAGUUAGUUCACUUUUUGCGUUGUCUACGGCAGCUCGUGCACAGACUUUGAAAGCUCUCAGGGUUGAUAAAUGUUCUUUUAACAGUCGUGGCGUUGUAUUUAACUGUGGUGAUAAAUUGAAGUGUUCCAAACCAGGAAGUGAUUUUUUCCUUCAUUUGAAACUUUAUGAAAAAAUAGAAUUAUGUCCAGUUAGGACUUUGAAACAAUAUAUCAGAAUGACAAGAAGUCAUAGAAAAGACAUGCAACUUUUUAUAUCCUAUGUUAACUUUAAGGCUGUCACUACAAGUACGUUAGCAAGAUGGCUUAAGUCAGUGUUGGUUCUUGCUGGAAUAGAUACAAAUACUUUUAAAGCUCACUCCUACAGAGGGGCAUCCUCUUCAGCAGCAGUAAAAGCUGGAUGUAAAAUGUCAGAAAUUCUAAAAAUGGCAGAUUGGAGUUCUGUUAAAAAUUUCAAACGGUUUUAUCUGAGAGAUGUUACUACAGAUAGUAGUCAGAACAAUUACAGUGACUUUGUUUUAGGGUCUAAGUGAUCUGAUUGUUAAAUAUAAAGAGUGGAUAAUGCAUAUCAUUGCCUUGUUUGGUAUGAUCAGUGUGUAAAUGAACUGCGUGUUACAAAAAAUUAGAUAAAGAAUUUAAAUUUUUUUUGGUGAACAUUUAUAUCUAAUUGUAUUAUGUAUGGAUUGUAAUUUGAUCAUUAUAUUGAAAUGAUAAAGACGCA